rnacentral:ncRNA from 1 species
CGGGACCCGAAAGAUGGUGAACUAUGCCUGAGCGGGGCGAAGCCAGAGGAAACUCUGGUGGAGGCUCGAAGCGAUACUGACGUGCAAAUCGUUCGUCUGACUUGGGUAUAGGGGCGAAAGACUAAGUGAACCAUCUAGUAGCUGGUUCCCUCCGAAGUUUCCCUCAGGAUAGCUGGAGCCCAUUACGAGUUCUAUCAGGUAAAGCCAAUGAUUAGAGGCAUUGGGGACGCAACGUCCUCGACCUAUUCUCAAACUUUAAAUAGGUAGGAUGGCUCGGC